GCGGUUGUGGUCUAGGGGUUAUGACGUCUGCUUCACACGCAGAAGAUCGGGAGUUCGAUUCUCCCCGACCGUA
rnacentral:tRNA from 1 species